rnacentral:rRNA from 1 species
UACGGAGGGUGCAAGCGUUAUCCGGAUUCACUGGGUUUAAAGGGUGCGUAGGCGGGUAGGUAAGUCAGUGGUGAAAUCUUCGAGCUUAACUCGGAAACUGCCUUUGAUACUAUCUAUCUUGAAUAUUGUGGAGGUAAGCGGAAUAUGUCAUGUAGCGGUGAAAUGCUUAGAUAUGACAUAGAACACCAAUUGCGAAGGCAGCUGGCUACAGGGAUAUUGACACUGAGGCACGAAAGCGUGGGGAUCAAACAGG